rnacentral:misc_RNA from 1 species
GUGGGAGCUGGCUUGCCAGCGAUAGGGUUAUUCCAGUCAGCAUAUUCGGUGACUGACAGUCCGCUAUCGCUGGCAAGCCAGCUCCCAC